AACGAACGCUGGCGGCAUGCUUAACACAUGCAAGUCGAACGAGACCUUCGGGUCUAGUGGCGCACGGGUGCGUAACGCGUGGGAAUCUGCCCUUUGCUACGGAAUAACUCAGAGACAUUUGUGCUAAUACCGUAUAAUGUCGAAAGACCAAAGAUUUAUCGGCGAAGGAUGAGCCCGCGUAGGAUUAGCUAGUUGGUGAGGUAAAGGCUCACAAAGGCGACGAUCCUUAGCUGGUCUGAGAGGAUGAUCAGCCACACUGGGACUGAGACACGGACCAGACUCCUACGGGAGGCAGCAGUGGGGAAUAUUGGACAAUGGUCGAAAGCCUGAUCCAGCAAUGCCGCGGGAGUGAUGAAGGCCUUAGGGUUGUAAAGCUCUUUUACCAGGGAUGAUAAUGACAGUACCUGGAGAAUAAGCUCCGGCUAACUCCGUGCCAGCCGCCGCAGUAAUAC
rnacentral:rRNA from 1 species